AGUGAACGCUGGCGGUAGGCCUAACACAUGCAAGUCGAACGGCAGCACAGUAAGAGCUUGCUCUUACGGGUGGCGAGUGGCGGACGGGUGAGGAAUACAUCGGAAUCUACUUUUUCGUGGGGGAUAACGUAGGGAAACUUACGCUAAUACCGCAUACGACCUACGGGUGAAAGCAGGGGAUCUUCGGACCUUGCGCGAUUGAAUGAGCCGAUGUCGGAUUAGCUAGUUGGCGGGGUAAAGGCCCACCAAGGCGACGAUCCGUAGCUGGUCUGAGAGGAUGAUCAGCCACACUGGAACUGAGACACGGUCCAGACUCCCACGGGAGGCAGCAGUGGGGAAUAUUGGACAAUGGGCGCAAGCCUGAUCCAGCCAUACCGCGUGGGUGAAGAAGGCCUUCGGGUUGUAAAGCCCUUUUGUUGGGAAAGAAAAGCAGCAGGUUAAUACCCCGCUGUUCUGACAGUACCCAAAGAAUAAGCACCGGCUAACUUCGUG
rnacentral:rRNA from 1 species